AGGAAUAUUGGUCAAUGGACGAGAGUCUGAACCAGCCAAGUCGCGUGAGGGAAGACUGCCCUAUGGGUUGUAAACCUCUUUUAUAAGGGAAGAAUAAGUUCUACGUGUAGAAUGAUGCCUGUACCUUAUGAAUAAGCAUCGGCUAACUCCGUGCCAGCAGCCGCGGUAAUACGGAGGAUGCGAGCGUUAUCCGGAUUUAUUGGGUUUAAAGGGUGCGUAGGCGGUUUAUUAAGUUAGUGGUUAAAUAUUUGAGCUAAACUCAAUUGUGCCAUUAAUACUGGUAAACUGGAGUACAGACGAGGUAGGCGGAAUAAGUUAAGUAGCGGUGAAAUGCAUAGAUAUAACUUAGAACUCCGAUAGCGAAGGCAGCUUACCAGACUGUAACUGACGCUGAUGCACGAGAGCGUGGGUAGCGAACAGGAUUAGAUACCCUGGUAGUCCACGCCGUAAACGAUGCUCACUGGUUCUGUGCGAUAUAUUGUACGGGAUUAAGCGAAAGUAUUAAGUGAGCCACCUGGGGAGUACGUCGGCAACGAUGAAACUCAAAGGAAUUGACGGGGGCCCGCACAAGCGGAGGAACAUGUGGUUUAAUUCGAUGAUACGCGAGGAACCUUACCUGGGUUUAAAUGGGAAAUGUCGUAUUUGGAAACAGAUAUUCUCUUCGGAGCGUUUUUCAAGGUGCUGCAUGGUUGUCGUCAGCUCGUGCCGUGAGGUGUCGGGUUAAGUCCCAUAACGAGCGCAACCCUUACCGUUAGUUGCUAGCAUGUAAUGAUGAGCACUCUAACGGGACUGCCACCGUAAGGUGAGAGGAAGGCGGGGAUGACGUCAAAUCAGCACGGCCCUUACACCCAGGGCUACACACGUGUUACAAUGGCCGGUACAGAGGGCUGCUACCAGGUGACUGGAUGCCAAUCUCAAAAGCCGGUCGUAGUUCGGAUUGGAGUCUGUAACCCGACUCCAUGAAGUUGGAUUCGCUAGUAAUCGCGCAUCAGCCAUGGCGCGGUGAAUACGUUCCCG
rnacentral:rRNA from 1 species